rnacentral:rRNA from 1 species
GUGAUUAAGAUUAUCGGAGGUAAAGCACUGAAUGGCCUAGGGGUCGAGAGAUUACCGAAGCCUAUCAAACUCUGAAUGCCGAAUAAUCAUGCACGGGAGUCAGACUGUGUGAGAUAAGUUUCAUAGUCGAAAGGGAAACAGCCCAGACCUACAGCUAAGGUCCCAAAGUACGUUUAAGUGGAAAACGAUGUGAAAUUGCGUAGACAACCAGGAUGUUGGCUUAGAAGCAGCCAUACAUUAAAAGAGUGCGUAAUAGCUCACUGGUCGAGUGACUUUGCGCGGAAAAUUUAACGGGGCUAAAACGUACACCGAAGCUUAGGCUUGCAACUAUGUUGCAGGGGUAGGGGAGCGUUGAAUGAGGGGUGAAGUCGUAGCGAAAGCGACGGUGGACUUCAUUCAAGUGAGAAUGCCGGAAUGAGUAGCGAGAAUUAUGUGAGAAUCAUAAUGGCCGAAAGCCUAAGGUUUUUGGAGGAAGGUUCGUCCGCUCCAAGUAAGUCGGAAGCUAAGGUGAGGCUGAAAAGCGUAGCCGAUGCACAAACGGUUGAAAUUCCGUUACCACAGAAAGAUUUAAACUAAGGGACACUUUUGAAGAGCUGAUGCCGGGUGUUGGUUACCCCGGUCGUAAGGGAACGAAAUCAAGUAGUGAAGUCAGCGUGGAUGAAGGCGAGAAAAGCUUAGUGUAUAUCUUAUGUGUCCGUACCGCAAACCGACACAGGUAGGUAGGAAGAGAAUUCUAAGGCCAACGGGAGAAGGGUAGUUAAGGAACUCGGCAAAAUGUCCCCGUAACUUCGGAAUAAGGGGAGGUUUCUACGGAAACCCGCAGAGAAUAGUCCCAGGCAACUGUUUAUCAAAAACACAGCUCUAUGCUAAAUCGAAAGAUGACGUAUACGAGGUGACGCCUGCCCGGUGCCGGAAGGUUAAGAGGAGGAGUGAGAGCCCUGAAUCGAAGCCCCGGUAAACGGCGGCCGUAACUAUAACGGUCCUAAGGUAGCGAAAUUCCUUGUCAGGUAAGUUCUGACCCGCACGAAUGGCGUAAUGAUCUGGGAGCUGUCUCAACUGCCCGCCCGGCGAAAUUGUAGUACCGGUGAAGAUGCCGGUUACCCGCGACUAGACGGAAAGACCCCAUGGAGCUUUACUGUAGCUUAAUAUUGGAUUUCGGCAUUUCAUGUACAGGAUAGGUGGGAGACUAGGAAACAUAGGCGUCAGCUUAUGCGGAGUCGUCCUUGGGAUACCACUCUUGGAGUGCUGAAAUUCUAACCUGCAGCCCUGAAUCGGGUUGGGGGACAUUGUUAGGUGGGCAGUUUGAC